CCCCUUAGAUGUCACAUUCGUGGAGACAGAGGAGUCUUGGACCAUGUGCGCAACUGGAGCGUAGGAGUGUGCGGUCGUCUUCUUGGAAAGGAAGGACUGGAAACAACCCUGACAGUGUUAGGCUUGGUGACGAUCAGGGACAGAUGACUCUUCCCGGUAGCCGUUUGCCCAGGCGCUUCUGCCCUUUAAGAAGAGUCUGUGUGGCUGUGUGAGUUGUCUCCAGUAAAGGACCCUGGAGGGAGUGGCUCAUCCUAGCCAUAAAGAGUGUGUUAUUUUUACCUUUUUGUUUGUUUGUUUGUUUUAAAGAAUCACUUUUUCUAAGUAUGUCGGAGUGGUUGAACAGAGAAAAAGUGAAUACCCUAAGAGAACUAGAAAUCUGGGAAGAACCGAAAUAGAGGCAGUGUCUGUUGACACUUUACUUGAAGAGUCACCUGCUGAACUGCUCGCUGAUCACCUCUAGAGACAACUGUGGAAGUUACCAUGGACAAAUUACCAGU